rnacentral:rRNA from 1 species
AUUAACGCUGGCGGCGUGCCUUAUGCAUGCAAGUCGCACGGUUUUUUCGCAAGAGGAGACAGUGGCAGACGGGUGAGUAACGCGUAAGUAACCUGUCCCUAAGUGGGGAAUAGCUCGGAGAAAUCUGAGGUAAUACCGCAUGUGUCCCUUGACCGAUGGGUUAAGGAGUAAAGCAGUAAUGCGCUUGGGGAGGGGCUUGCGUCUGAUUAGCUAGUUGGUGGGGUAAUGGCUCACCAAGGCGACGAUCGGUAGCUGGUCUGAGAGGACGACCAGCCACACUGGGACUGAGACACGGCCCAGACUCCUACGGGAGGCAGCAGCAAGGAAUAUUGUGCAAUGGGCGAAAGCCUGACACAGCGACGCCGCGUGAAGGAUGAAGACCUUCGGGUUGUAAACUUCUUUUAUCAGGGAAGAAUAAUGACGGUACCUGGUGAAUAAGCCACGGCGAACUACGU